UGGGGAAUAUUGCACAAUGGGCGCAAGCCUGAUGCAGCCAUGCCGCGUGUAUGAAGAAGGCCUUCGGGUUGUAAAGUACUUUCAGCGAGGAGGAAGGCGUUAAGGUUAAUAACCUUAGCGAUUGACGUUACUCGCAGAAGAAGCACCGGCUAACUCCGUGCCAGCAGCCGCGGUAAUACGGAGGGUGCAAGCGUUAAUCGGAAUUACUGGGCGUAAAGCGCACGCAGGCGGUCUGUUAAGUCAGAUGUGAAAUCCCCGGGCUCAACCUGGGAACUGCAUUUGAAACUGGCAGGCUUGAGUCUUGUAGAGGGGGGUAGAAUUCCAGGUGUAGCGGUGAAAUGCGUAGAGAUCUGGAGGAAUACCGGUGGCGAAGGCGGCCCCCUGGACAAAGACUGACGCUCAGGUGCGAAAGCGUGGGGAGCAAACA
rnacentral:rRNA from 1 species